rnacentral:rRNA from 1 species
CCUACGGGAGGCAGCAGUGAGGAAUAUUGGUCAAUGGACGAGAGCCUGAACCAGCCAAGUAGCGUGAAGGAUGAAGGCUCUAUGGGUUGUAAACUUCUUUUAUAAAGGAAUAAAACGAGGCACGUGUGCCUUUUUGUAUGUACUUUAUGAAUAAGGAUCGGCUAACUCCGUGCCAGCAGCCGCGGUAAUACGGAGGAUCCGAGCGUUAUCCGGAUUUAUUGGGUUUAAAGGGAGCGUAGAUGGGUUGUUAAGUCAGUUGUGAAAGUUUGCGGCUCAACCAUAAAAUUGCAAUUGAUACUGGCAGUCUUGAGUACAGUUGAGGUAGGCGGAAUGCGUGGUGUAGCGGUGAAAUGCUUAGAUAUCACGAAGAACCCCGAUUGCGAAGGCAGCUUACUAAGCUAUGACUGACAUUGAUGCUCGAAAGUGUGGGUAUCAAACAGGAUUAGAUACCCCUGUAGUC